rnacentral:rRNA from 1 species
UCCCGUUGAUCCUGCGGGAGAUCACUGCUAUUGGAAUUCGAAUUAGACAUGCAAGUCAUGGGGACGCUUCGGCGUCACCGGCAUAAGGCUCAGUAACACGUUGAUAAUCUGUCCUUGGAUUCAGGAUAACCUCGAGAAAUUGAGGCUAAGACUGAAUAGAAGAUUGAGGCUGGAACGCACUUUCUUUGAAACGCAAGGUCCAAGGGUGAGUCAGCGGCUGAUUAGAUUGUUGGUGAGGUAACGGCUCACCAAGUCUGCGAUCAGUAGGGGAGAUGAGAGUCUUGGCCCCGAGAAGGGCACGGAGGUACUGGCCCUAGUCCUAAGGGAUGCAGCAGUCACGGAACCUUUACAAUGCACGAAAGUGUGAUAGGGGAAUUCCAAGUACUUUGCCAAUGGUAAGGCUUUUGUUAAGUGUAAGGAGCUUGACGAAUAAGAGGUGGGCAAGACCGGUGCCAGCCGCCGCGGUAACACCGGCGCCUCGAGUGGUGAUCAUGUUUAUUGGGUCUAAAGCGUCCGUAGCCUGUUAAGUAAAUUCUUUGUGAAAUUGUUGGGCUUAACUCAACAACCUGCAAGGAAGACUGCUUGACUUGAGACCGGGAGGGGGUAGAGGUAUUCCAUGGGGAGCGGUAAAAUGCAAUAAUCCUUGGAAGACCACCAGUGGCGAAGGCUUCUAUCCAGAACGGGUCUGACGGUGAGGGACGAAGGCCAGGGGAGCAAAACGGAUUAGAUACCCGAGUAGUCCUGGCUGUAAACGCUGCUAGCUGAGUGGUGCGCUUUCUACAUGGAAGUGCACGGUUUAAGCGAAGGUGUUAAGCUAGCCACCUGGGAAGUAUAGUCGCAAGGCCGAAACUUAAAGGAAUUGGCGGGGGCUCACUACAACGGGUGCGGCGUGCGGUUUAAUUUAAUGAUACGCAGAACAUCUCACCAAGAGCGACGGCAGGAUGAAGGUCAGAUUAAAGGUUUUACCUGACAAGCCGAGAGGUGAUGCAUGGCCGUCGUCAGUUCGUGCCGUAAGGUGUUACGUUAAGUCGUACAACGAACAAGACCCAUGCUUACAUUUGCUAGCGUCUUCUCCGGAAGGAAUGAGCACAAUGUAAGGACUGCCUUCGAAAGGAGGAGGAGGGUGUGGGCAACGAUAGGUCUGUAUGUCCCGAAUCUCUUGGGCUACACGCGCGCAACAAUGGCAGAGACAAUGGGCUACGACUCCGAAAGGAGAAGUCAAUCCUCGAAACUCUGUCCAAGUCUAGAUUGAGGGUUGUAACUCACCCUCAUGACAAUGGAAUCCGUAGUAAUCGGACUUCAUUAUGGUCCGGUGAAUACGUCCCUGAGCCUUGCACACACUGCCCGUCAAGCCAACCGAGCAGGGUUUAGAUGAGGUCUAUUUUUUAGAUAGAUCGAAUCUAAGUUCAGUGAGGUGGGUUAAGUCGUCACAAGGUA